ACGCAUUAAGCACUCCGCCUGGGGAGUACGACCGCAAGGUUGAAACUCAAAGGAAUUGACGGGGGCCCGCACAAGCGGUGGAGCAUGUGGUUUAAUUCGAAGCAACGCGAAGAACCUUACCAGGUCUUGACAUCCUUUGACCACUCUGGAGACAGAGCUUUCCCUUCGGGGACAAAGUGACAGGUGGUGCAUGGUUGUCGUCAGCUCGUGUCGUGAGAUGUUGGGUUAAGUCCCGCAACGAGCGCAACCCUUGAUUUUAGUUGCCAGCAUUUAGUUGGGCACUCUAAAGUGACUGCCGGUGCAAGCCGGAGGAAGGUGGGGAUGACGUCAAAUCAUCAUGCCCCUUAUGACCUGGGCUACACACGUGCUACAAUGGAUAGUACAAAGGGUCGCGAAGCCGCGAGGUGGAGCUAAUCCCAUAAAACUAUUCUCAGUUCGGAUUGUAGGCUGCAACUCGCCUACAUGAAGCCGGAAUCGCUAGUAAUCGUGGAUCAGCAUGCCACGGUGAAUACGUUCCCGGGCCUUGUACACACCGCCCGUCACACCACGAGAGUUUGUAACACCCGAAGUCGGUAGGGUAACCUUUAUGGAGCCAGCCGCCGAAGGUGGGACAGAUAAUUGGGGUGAAGUCGUAACAAGGUAGCCGUAUCGGAAGGUGCGGCUGGAUCACCUCCUUUCUAAGGAA
rnacentral:rRNA from 1 species